rnacentral:rRNA from 1 species
AUGGGAGCUUGCUCCCUGAAGUCAGCGGCGGACGGGUGAGUAACACGUGGGCAACCUGCCUGUAAGACUGGGAUAACUCCGGGAAACCGGGGCUAAUACCGGAUAACUCUUUUCCUCACAUGAGGAAAAGCUGAAAGAUGGUUUCGGCUAUCACUUACAGAUGGGCCCGCGGCGCAUUAGCUAGUUGGUGAGGUAACGGCUCACCAAGGCCACGAUGCGUACCCGACCUGAGAGGGUGAUCGGCCACACUGGGACUGAGACACGGCCCAGACUCCUACGGGAGG